UACAGAGGGUGCAAGCGUUGUUCGGAAUUAUUGGGCGUAAAGCGCGUGUAGGCGGCUUUGCAAGUCGGGUGUGAAAUCCCUCAGCUCAACUGAGGAAGUGCGCCCGAAACUGCUUAGCUUGAGUGCCGGAGAGGAUGGCGGAAUUCCCCAAGUAGAGGUGAAAUUCGUAGAUAUGGGGAGGAACACCGGUGGCGAAGGCGGCCAUCUGGACUGCAACUGACACUGAACAACGAAAGCCAGGGGAGCAAACGGG
rnacentral:rRNA from 1 species